rnacentral:rRNA from 1 species
UACGUAGGGUGCAAGCGUUACUCGGAAUUACUGGGCGUAAAGCGUGCGUAGGUGGUUCGUUAAGUCUGAUGUGAAAGCCCUGGGCUCAACCUGGGAAUGGCAUUGGAAACUGGCGACCUAGAGUGCGGUAGAGGGUAGUGGAAUUCCCGGUGUAGCAGUGAAAUGCGUAGAGAUCGGGAGGAACAUCCGUGGCGAAGGCGACUACCUGGCCUGUUCUUGACGCUGAGGCGCGAAAGCUAGGGGAGCAAACGGG